rnacentral:rRNA from 1 species
UGGGGAAUAUUGCACAAUGGGGGGAAACCCGUGAUGCAGCGACGCCGCGUGAGCGAUGAAGUAUUUCGGUAUGUAAAGCUCUAUCAGCAGGGAAGAAAAUGACGGUACCUGACUAAGAAGCCCGGCUAACUACGUGCC